CCACGCUCCCUCUCCCCAAACCACCUAAACCAGUAAACCUCUCUCUCCUCCCUCUCUCCCUCCCUCUCUCUCUCUCUCUCUCUCUCUGCAAUUCAAAAGACUUUUUGGUCCCUCCCAUGGCGGUUCUGAACCGCGUUUUGAGAUCACGACGACCGGGAAGCUUCUUCUCGCUCCGGAGCUUCCGCUCCUCGUCUUUUCUAAAUUCCGAAACUGACCUCAAAGCGUCUGCCUCCGUCAUCCCAAAGCCCCUUCCCCUGCAUCGCGACGUCAAGGACAGGAAUGUCCGGUGGGUCUUCCUCGGCUGCCCCGGCGUCGGAAAGGGAACCUACGCCUCCCGCCUCUGCCACCUCCUCGGCGUCCCUCACAUCGCCACCGGCGAUCUCGUCCGCGACGAGCUGGCUGCCUCCGGCCCCUUCGCUCUUCAGCUUGCGGAGGUUGUGAAUCAGGGGAAAUUGGUUUCGGAUGAGAUUAUAAUAAACUUGUUGUCCAAGCGUCUUGAGGCUAGUGCAGCUAAGGGUGAAACUGGCUUCAUUCUUGACGGUUUUCCGAGGACGAUUCGACAGGCGGAAAUUUUGGAGGGAGUGACAGACAUUGACUUGGUUGUCAACCUAAAGCUUCGUGAAGAGGCUUUGCUUGCGAAGUGUCUUGGAAGGAGGAUUUGUAGUGACUGUGGAGGAAAUUAUAAUGUUGCCUCCAUUGACAUUAAGGCCGAGGAUGGGAACCCUGGCAUGUACAUGGCUCCACUUCUUCCCCCUCCACAAUGUGCAUCAAAGCUUAUCACGAGAUCCGAUGACACUGAAGAAGUUGUUAAGGAGCGACUUCGUAUAUACAACGAUAUGAGUCAACCUGUGGAGGAGUUCUACCGAAGUCGGGGAAAAUUGUUAGAGUUUGAUCUUCCUGGAGGGAUUCCUGAAUCCUGGCCAAAGCUACUUCGGGCUUUGAAUCUGGAAGACCCUGAAGACAAAUGGUCUGCAGCAGCAUGAUUCGUAAAUCCUGUACUAUAUACACUAGACAAGUUAGUUUUCAUUAGGUAAGCUAUAUCAUUCUUUGCAAUGUCAUGGAAGCAGCUGCAUAUAAUUUGCAAUUGAAGGGGAAAACUUUGGUGUGCAAUAAAAAGCAGAAGAGGUUUAAAGUUAGAGUUCCCUCUCCCCCCUCGAACGAGGGACGAAAGGGAAUGGACAUGUUGCAUUAUGUGGGUUCUAACCAUGUAAAGAAUAAAAUGUUGGAUCGGACGAGGGUUCGCGUCGUUCGGAAUCCAAUCGCGUGGUGGUUGAUGCUGAUACUUAAAGUUUUGUUUCUGUAUUUGUCAAUAGAAGAUAGAUUGAUCGACUUGUAAACCAUCUGAGGUAUAUUAAUGUUACACCUUUACAACUUUGCACCUUGAAAAUA